rnacentral:rRNA from 1 species
GACGAACGCUGGCGGCGUGCUUAACACAUGCAAGUCGAACGGAAAGGCCCCUUUGGGGGUACUCGAGUGGCGAACGGGUGAGUAACACGUGAGUAACCUGCCCUUGACUUCGGGAUAACUUCAGGAAACUGGGGCUAAUACCGGAUAGGAAUCCUUGCUGCAUGGUGGGGGUUGGAAAGCUUCGGCGGUUUUGGAUGGACUCGCGGCUUAUCAGCUUGUUGGUGGGGUAGUGGCUUACCAAGGCUUUGACGGGUAGCCGGCCUGAGAGGGCGACCGGCCACAUUGGGACUGAGAUACGGCCCCGACUCCUACGGGAGGCAGCAGGGGGGAAUAUUGCACAAUGGGCGGAAGCCUGAUGCAGCAACGCCGCGUGCGGGAUGACGGCCUUCGGGUUGGAAACCGCUUUCAGCAGGGGCGAAGCUUGUGGUGACGGUACCUGCAGAAGAAGCACCGGCUAACUACGUG